rnacentral:misc_RNA from 1 species
CUGAGUGAGGGCCCUCUGGGUCCAACCUCCCACCCGUGUUUAUUGUACCUUGUUGCUUCGGCGAGCCCGCCGUCAUGGCCGCCGGGGGACUCACCCUCCCCGGGCCCGCGCUCGCCGAAGACACCCUCGAACUCUGUCUGAAGAUUGUAGUCUGAGUGGAAUUAUAAAUUAUUUA